rnacentral:hammerhead_ribozyme from 1 species
AUCUAGGUGACGAGCCCCAAAUAGGACGAAACGUGAGUCCUGGAU